AUGCUGACAGUCUUUAGAUCUCUCCUGCCUGUAGGCCGAUUCAUCGUUGUUACUGAUUCGGCCAACAACUGUGGUAUCAUCUGCAUACUUGAUGAAGACGUUGGAGUUAUGUUGCGGAACACAGUCAAGGGUGAACAGGGAUUAGAGCAGAAUGUAUCACUGUGGCACACUUUUGGUGGAGGAACCAAACUGUCUGUGGGCCUAGGUGUCACCCAGCCCAGUGUGACGGUGCUGCCCCCCUCCAGUGUGGAGCUGCAGCAGGAGAAGGUCACACUCAUGUGUGUGGCCUACAAGGGCUUCCCCUCGGACUGGAAGUUGAGCUGGAAGGUUGAUGGCAGCAGCUGGAGCUCGGGGGAAAGCAGCAGCACCUCCGUUCUGAACGCUGACGGCCUCUACAGCUGGAGCAGCACACUGAGCCUCCACCCGGAGCAGUGGAGGAACAAGGUGGUGACCUGUGAGGCCUCCAAAGACAACCAACCUACUGUGGUGAGCACAGUGAACACAGAGCAGUGCUCAGAGCUGUGAGAUCACACACACUUUACUCAGCUCACCUUCUACUGCUUCACUGUGUGGUACA